rnacentral:hammerhead_ribozyme from 1 species
GUACUGCUGAAGAGUCCAAAACCGGGGCGAAACAGCUGUCUAGUAU